rnacentral:piRNA from 1 species
UGGAGACUUUAUACACAUGAU